rnacentral:rRNA from 1 species
UUCGCAAUGCCCGAAAGGGUGAACGAGCGACGCCGCGUGGAGGACGAAGGCCUUCGGGUUGUAAACUCCUGUCGAGGGGGAGGAAGGGGCAACCUUGACCGAUCCCUGGAGGAAGCACGGGCUAAGUUCGUGCCAGCAGCCGCGGUAAGACGAACCGUGCGAACGUUAUUCGGAAUCACUGGGCUUAAAGCGCGUGUAGGCGGAUGGGAACGUCGGUUUUUGAAAGCCCCCGGCUCAACCGGGGAAGUGGAGCCGAAACGACCGAUCUGGAGGGACGUAGGGGGACCUGGAACUUCCGGUGGAGCGGUGAAAUGCGUUGAGAUCGGAAGGAACGCCCGUGGCGAAAGCGAGGUCCUGGACGUCUGCUGACGCUGAGACGCGAAAGCUAGGGGAGCAAACGGGGUUAGAUACCCCGGUAGUCCUGGCCGUAAACGUUGGGCACUAAGUAGAGGGGUUUUU